rnacentral:rRNA from 1 species
AUUGAACGCUGGCGGCAUGCCUAACACAUGCAAGUCGAACGGUAGCAGUGCCUUCGGGCAGCUGACGAGUGGCGGACGGGUGAGUAACGCGUAGGAAUCUACCUCGAUGUUCGGGAUAGCUAAGGGAAACCUUAGGUAAUACCGGAUGAGCUCUAAGGAGGAAAGGAGGGGCCCAGCAAUGGCCUUUCGCAUUGAGAUGAGCCUGCGUCGGAUUAGCUAGUUGGGGGGGUAAAGGCCUACCAAGGCGUAGAUCCGUAGCUGGUCUGAGAGGACGACCGGCCACACUGGGACUGAGACACGGCCCAGACUCCUACGGGAGGCAGCAGUGGGGAAUAUUGGACAAUGGGCGCAAGCCUGAUCCAGCAAUGCCGCGUGUGUGAAGAAGGCCUUCGGGUUGUAAAGCACUUUCGUUUUUGAAGAAGAUGAGUUGGUUAAUACCCAGUUCAUUUGACGUUAGAGAAAGAAGAAGCACCGGCUAACUCUGUGCCAGCAGCCGCCGUAACAC